CAGAACGAACGCUGGCGGAAUGCUUUACACAUGCAAGUCGAACGGUAACAGGCCGCAAGGUGCUGACGAGUGGCGAACGGGUGAGUAAUACAUCGGAACGUGCCCAGUCGUGGGGAUAACGCAGCGAAAGCUGUGCUAAUACCGCAUACGAUCUGAGGAUGAAAGCGGGGGACCUUAGGGCCUCGCGCGAUUGGAGCGGCCGAUGGCAGAUUAGGUAGUUGGUGGGAUAAAAGCUUACCAAGCCGACGAUCUGUAGCUGGUCUGAGAGGACGACCAGCCACACUGGGACUGAGACACGGUCCAGACUCCUACGGGAGGCAGCAGUGGGGAAUUUUGGACAAUGGACGCAAGUCUGAUCCAGCCAUCCCGCGUGCAGGAUGAAGGCCCUCGGGUUGUAAACUGCUUUUGUACGGAACGAAAAGGUUUCUAUUAAUACUAGGAGCUCAUGACGGUACCGUAAGAAUAAGCACCGGCUAACUACGUG
rnacentral:rRNA from 1 species